rnacentral:rRNA from 1 species
AACGAACGCUGGCGGCAUGCCUAAUACAUGCAAGUCGAACGAGAUCUUCGGAUCUAGUGGCGCACGGGUGCGUAACGCGUGGGAAUCUGCCCUUGGGUUCGGAAUAACUUCUGGAAACGGAAGCUAAUACCGGAUGAUGACGUAAGUCCAAAGAUUUAUCGCCCAAGGAUGAGCCCGCGUAGGAUUAGGUAGUUGGUGAGGUAAAGGCUCACCAAGCCGACGAUCCUUAGCUGGUCUGAGAGGAUGAUCAGCCACACUGGGACUGAGACACGGCCCAGACUCCUACGGGAGGCAGCAGUAGGGAAUAUUGGACAAUGGGCGAAAGCCUGAUCCAGCAAUGCCGCGUGAGUGAUGAAGGCCUUAGGGUUGUAAAGCUCUUUUACCCGGGAUGAUAAUGACAGUACCGGGAGAAUAAGCUCCGGCGAACUCCGU